rnacentral:lncRNA from 1 species
CGCCCACUUAUGAGGAAGGGCCUCUGCAGGCCAUCGAAUCUUCUCGUAUUCCUGAAACAGAAUGGUACGGUCCAGAACCCGCCCCAUCUUCUCUGCGAUUGGCCGUCCUUCCUCAGUGCGUCGUGUGAUUUUUCACCAAUGGCCGCUCGCGUUUCUUUAGCGAGGGCUAAGCGAUGGAAGGAGGUGGCCAGGGAGACGCCCCCUACGCGUUCUGGGAUUGGCUACGUCGCACGGCGCGCGAGGACGGCGGGCCCGAAAGAUAAGAACUACGACUCCCGGCUCCCCGCAAUGGGAACUCCAUUACGCAUGCGCAUGGGCGGGGCGAACUAGCUUCUAUAUAAAAGGGGCGCAGAGGGCUGGGAGGCAGCAGUUGGAAGUUGGCAGGUGGAGAGGCAGGUUGGGAGGGAAAGUCGGGGGAGGAGGCGGAAGAGGAGCUGUGGGAAGCGGGAGGAGGGAGGGAGGAAAAGAGGAGGAGGCGGAGGAGAACUGAGCAGAGCAGAGCAUCGAGCCAAAGGGGAGAUGAGUUUGUCUGUCCUCUGCUGAGGCUCCGGCCGGGCCUAGGGAACUGGGAGCUUAGGUGGAAGCGACACCCGUGGAAGUGGGAGGAGGUGGCUCCGGGACUUUAACCCCUUGUGGGCUCUGCGGCAGGGGAUUUAACCCUUUGUGGAUCUGGCCCCUCGGAGGCAGCGUCAUCGGUAGUUUUAACCCCUUCGGGGCUGGGUUUCACCCACUGGACUUACCCUCAUCACCUUGCUUACCAACUCCUUUAUUGGGGUGCUCCGCUUGGAGGUUUGAGGCCCACCUCCGCACAUUACGUACUGUUCCUGCCGCUGCACCCCUUGGACCCGCUAGCUGGCCGCACUGUGGACGCUUAACCCUUUACUGACUUGAGCUCCCCAGAUUGCAGUUGGAGUUUGCUGAUAGAAGGACUAGCUAAAGGCGUCACUGCAGGAAUUACAAACUGAAGAGGACUCUGUUGGACUGUUUUUCUUUUUUUUUUUUUUUAAGAAAAACUCCAUUUUUUUUUCUUGAGGACGUAGUAGCCAAAAUUUCUCAAA